rnacentral:lncRNA from 1 species
AAUCCACUCCCCAUUCCGCUGUACCACACCACCUCCACAGCAUCCAACCAGCAUCCGAUCGAGACCGCUAGUCAGCAUCGCUGCUUCCACGCAGCCUCGUCCGCUUCCAUCCCUGCAGUUUACCUCCCCCUGCAGUCGCUGCCGCCCGCCGCACACGUCGCUCCAGCGCAAGCAAAAUAGCCAGAGGCAGCGCAGCUAAGGCUCUCGCGCGUGCCGGGGGGCAUCGCACACGCUCUUACGCGCACAGGCACUCACAACCUAGCCGACUCAACAAUGUCAAAAUGAGCGAGCUGCUUAGAGCCCCUUGCCGUUGUUCAGGCCGUCAGCGAACUUGGCCAGAGAGCCCAGGGCGCCCUCGCCAGUCGACAGAGCCUGCACACCGUAGCCGAAGAAGGAGACCAUCGCCAGGCGGGCGUGCUUGAUCUCAGCGGUCUUCAGGCGGAAGGCGCGCUCCUCGUCCUCAGAGGCCAGCUUGAGGGGGUCGAACACGCCGCCGGGGUAGCAGCGCUUCUCGGGGUUGGUCUCGCUGUUGCGGUAGAACUCAGCGCCACCGACCAGGAUCACCUCAAUCCAGAUCAGCUGGGUGAUGGAGAAGGGCAGGGACAGGCCGGCGUACGAGGCGCCGUCCAGCUCGACCUUGCCGGCCUCAACCCUGGGGUGAGGGGAAGUCCACACGGUGGGCACACGUCAGCGAGAUUACAUCGACGUAGCAAUUAUGACGCAACAACUCAAGCUCGCGCCAAUGCAAGACUAGUAAACCGGCCCGACGACGGGUGUUGCUAGUGAUCAGGGCCGACAUGUCAACCCGAAUCAGCCUGAUCUACAGAUCUGAACGCGCCGCACUGAACCCAGACUCACCAAGACACACCGGUGGUGGCCUCAGCCACCAGGGCGCCCAGGCAGGCAAGCAUGGCCCAGCGGCCGUGAAUCAGCUCGCACUCGCGGAAGCGAGCCAGGCCGAACACCUCCGAGUAGGGAGCCAGGCGGUUCUCCGAGCUAACCUCAUCGGGGGUAGCCUGGACGAUGGCCUCGACGGAGCCCUUGUUGUUCUUGGCAGCGUUCUGGUCGUUCUCGUCAACGCCAAUCACCACGAACUCCGAGGGCUUGGACAGGCCUGCAAAAAUAACGAAGACAAGAUGCGGGUAAGAAAACUAGGCAAGAUCAAGGCGAGGCAAAGUCCACGUCGACAAUUCAACGCCAACGAUGCCGCGCGCGCCGCUGGCCAGCAGCAUGAAGGAUCAAGACUCAAUGACCACUGGCAUUUGAUUUGUCUAGCAGAAUGCCCAGCGCAGAUCGCUGCGAGGCCCGCGCGAGUGCCUGAGCGAGACUGCACACACCCGGGCGCAGGUGCCAUGCUUGCGCGCAGUCGUGCCGCCCGCGAAGGCGCAGAUCUAAGCGCCAGUGAUCCCCCAAAUCCAUAAUUUUAGUUCUGCAAAAAGCCCAGGCUGCUUACCCAGGGGAUCGAAGCCGCGGUCGCCGGGCAGAGAGCCAUCCAGCCACUCGGGGCGGGUGGUGUUCGGCAGCCACAGGGCAUCGCCCUGGUACUUGCGGUAGCCAACGCCGCCCGAGCGAGUGCCGGUGGAGGUGGCAACCUUCUUGGUGGUCGCCUUAGGGGCCGGCUUGGUAGCGGUGGUGCCCGCCUUCUUCUGGGUGCCGGGAGGGGUGGGGAACUUGAACACCAUUUUGCCUAGGCUGACGUUUAGAGAAACGACUGAGUCUAUGUGCUACAAAGACUAACGAAACGGUGGCUCGACGAGCCUUUUCUAAAGCCCCAUCUUCUCGGGGCCGCCGUACACAGAUCUGCCUCAUUCCUUCGCGCUCUCAUGCCGGAACGACCCUCUAGCGCCGCGACAAGACGCCAAAUGAAUUGUAUUCACUAGAGCGCUGGCCCGCGCCACCAGCGACCGUGCCGCGAGCGCCCCUUGCAGCGAGCUGGGGCCCUUUUGGCGCGCAAAAUGGACCCGUGCUUGUUACAAUAACUUCAACACUUAGGCGCAUGUUAAUGCAUUGCUUCGCGUUAGGUAGCGACGGGGAAGCGAGCAAGUGUAGGUUCUACAUGGCCCGACAUGCGCUUGCGCGCUGGCUCCGUAUCGUCGCCUCAAUAUGGCGUUCAGUUUUCGACACUUAUAGGUGCAUACCGACUUAAGCAGGGGUGCCGGGCAGGCAAGCGUGUGCGCAGCAAGCAAACGUGCAACACCGCAACACCCAUCGGCGCCAAGUCUCGCUGUCUCGCUCUCAGUGUCAAGGAAGGCGGCCUACUCGGGACGAUGGUGCAGUGCGCAAAACUGGAACCGCCAUCUUUUUGGCUUGAGCUGGUGCGCAAGUGCAUCGCUGUAUUCUGGUUCUCGGGUGCACACGCGCUCGUGUUGGCAAUGUGACUGCUUGGCUGUUUAACAUGCGUGAGCGGUGAUUCGUGAGAACCAGUCCAGGGCAGCUAUGGCCUGGGGGCAUGGGCUGGUGCUAUCCGGGGGGUGGCCGACUCGCCUGGCGGGGCACGGAGGGGCACGGGGAAUGGAGAUACUUGCCCGAGCCCAAUGAUAGGGUCGAGUCCACCGAUAGCACGCACGAGCGGGCAAGCACCGGUUCUGACCUUGAGGCCUGUGCAUCCAGGCGGGCAGGUGCUGAUGGUGGUGGCGGGAGGAGAGUGUUGGCGGGCUGUGUUGGGUGUGAUGGGGCAGGUUGGGGAUGCAACAGUUGCGCGGCGCCGAGUGUAUGCGACGGCUACCAAGGUGACGUACCGCAGGAUGCAUGGGCCUGAGUGAGGAGAGGGGAAUUGCCGGAGCCGGCGACGGAGUCGCUGGAAGGGCAGUUGGCGGCGCAACGCGUUGUGGCUGCGGGCGAGGAAGGGGCAGGUUAGGGUAGUCCCGCAGUGUGCAGCGUAUUCCCAGACCCCAACAGUCAGUUGGCAGCUUCAAGGCAAGAGCGCGCGGCGGUAUAACGCCUAAGUGUACCGAGACAUCGCUGACAUCGCUGUGGCUGGGGGUCACUGAGGGGCGGCCCGGGCGUGUCCCAGGCACGCAACCCAGAACCAAUCGCGGGGGCUCACCCCCACAAUCCCGCAUUCAUGUCCUAUGUAUGUGCAUGUCACAGGGAACAGCGCGGGUGCGCGCCCGCCCAUGCGUUGUGUGGUUAUGUGGUAUGUGUGUCACCGUCUUCAGAUGACUCCCCCUCGGAUCUUUGCGGCAACCUAUGAUCUUUGCGGCAACCUAUGAUGUGUCAGUAGUCAGUACCGCAUACCCCGCCUUCCGCUCUGGUCUGCGUAUACACCCUCGUAAAGCACGUCGAUAUCUGGGGCUCCGGGCACGAAGGCCUGUGCGUUUGACCCGGACGGCGCGCCAGCCUGUUUCACCCGGACGGCGCGGACCCGGACGCGGACCCGGACGGCGCGCGCCAACCUUCUGCCUUUCGCCACGCAUAUGGGGAUUCUCAAUCCCUCUUACCCUGCGUUGAAGCUCGCCUUUGAGGGCCAGUCCACACUCCACAUCGGCGUAAGGACCCGCAUGUAUACCGGCAUUGCCGUCAUGUCACUCAUAAUCUGUACGUCCUGUGUCAUCCACGAAUUGUUCCGCUAGCCGCUUCCUAAAGCCCUUCCGACAUACGAACUGAGCUGCCUGCCUGUCUCCCAUGUCAGCAACACUGCGACACAUCGAGCAUUCGAGCUAGGGGUGGCCCACGCCACCCACACCAUGAGGGGGGCCACCCCUGUCCACCAUCACCACCUGCUCACCCACCUGCAAUGCGCUUUUGCCUCAGUCGGCGCGAAUCAGUCCUGCCACGACAACCGCUGAUCGCCACCCUCAUUACCACCCGCUUACUCGAACCGUGCCGCCGCCGGCUGCUACUGCUACUGCCACCAACAGUCUACCCGCAGCGCCCGCACGCCAGCACCGCGCCAGCUACAGCCAGCUGUGCGGCGAGGGUGCCAGCAUUGUGUAUCGGUGCACCAGGCCCCACAUCAUCAGCCCCACGUACAGCUGGCUCUCAAUGAACUCGAUGUGCGCCGUCCUGCGGGCGCGGGUCACCAGGGCGGGGGGCAACGGAGGGAGGAGGGAGGAAGGCACAUGUCGGGGACGUGUGUGGUCAGUGGUUGAGCGAGGUGCUGGAGGGUUCGCAUGCAUGCACGGUGGAAAGAUGGGCAGUCGGCCGGGGUGUCGUGCCGGCCUCCACGAUGCGAUAUUGCAAGCCCGCUGUUUGUCUGAGGUCAUCACCACCAGAACGGGGCUGGUACUGCCCGCGUCACGACGCACCUGCCAACGAGCUUUGAGAAGCUGAAGCUCUUGCUGCGCAGGCUGAAGUCCACCGACAGCCGGAACAGGUGCGUGCCCUGCCCCACGCCCGCCGUGAGCGCGCGCAUCAUGUCGUUGUAGCAGCGCCCACGCCGGCUGUCGCGCUCAGCCUACGCGGCAACGACCAACGGAAAGGGUUGGUGGCGCAAGGGCGGGGUCCGCAUGCGGUUGCAUGCCUCUGAGUGCGAGUGUUGUACAGUGGUAACGAGCACAAUACAUUGAAAACACAGCGCAAAGUUGUAAAGUGUUACAGAGCACAAGGAAAACGUUGCGCAAAGACUGUGUAUGCGAUGCAGCAAAGCGACGGUACGGUGUGUGCAUGUGCGCGUCAGAGGCCUGCUGCUGUGCGCGGCUGCCGUCGGCCCCAGGCCACGCGGCAACGAGCGGCCGGCCGCUGCCAAGCACGCACCUGCGGGCAGCUGCCUAUGGAGGAGGAGUGGUAGGGCACAUAUCGGUCCUGCGGGCUGGACACCACCACCACAAGCUUGAACACGCUGAGCGGCGACUCGUGCGCCAGGCGGUACAAGUAGCAGUCCGUCAGCUGCGGCGCGUCAGAGAACGUCAGCUGGUGCAGGCACUUGCCUGCACAUCGUAAGCGGCGGUUGGGUUUGGGGAUGGGGAUGGUUUGAGGGGCGAGGUAGCGGGCGGCGGGAGGGCUGAGGCGCUGCUAAGGCUCAUGGGACGGUUGCAUGCGCAUCCCCAAUACAGACACGAACCGUUCCGCUUCACUCCGAAAGCACACGCGUUGCUCUGCAGCACGCCUCCUCCUUCCCACCGCCCCUGCCCCCACCAGCCCCUACCCCUCCUCUUCGCUUUGCAUUGGGUUCGGUUAGGUUUGGGCUGGUAUCUACAACCGCCCCUGCCGGCGCCCCUCUCACCCUUGCCGAUGCUCUUGAGCAGCAUGAGGCCGGUGUCCACCACGGCGUUGGUGCCGUACAGGAAGCCCAGGUGCGGCCCCGACACGGACAGGUACAGCCACAGCAGGUGCUUGUACGGCUCCACCUCGGGCUGAGUCAGCGCGGCGCGCAAGAUCAGGUUCCCGAUGGAGUGGCCUGCGCGUGGGUGGGUGAAAAAAGAGGGAUGCGGGGCUUCAUGUCGGUUUCUAAAAUGCUGAAGAGCUCAGGUUACAUUCAUGCUUAAUUAAGAAGAUGGGGCGGGAAAGGUCGGUGAGUCGUCUUGGUGUGUCAGCGUUGCCGCCGGGUUUGGAGCAGCGUGUAAACCGUCAUCCGUGAGAUUCCGCCCUUGGCGCUACCCCUCUUGCGCCCUGUGGCUGCGGCCGGCCCCGGCGCGCGCCCCGGCACGCACCCACGAGCGUGAUCUUGCGCAGCGGCCGGCGCGUGGACCUGGCAAAGGGCGCCAGCACCUCCGCCAUCUCCACCGCCAGCCGCUUGCCCAUCUCCUGCAGCGAGUCGUGCGUGUUGCCCUGCAGGCGCAGCGGCAGCGCGGAGCGGGCAGCAUGGGAACCCGGGUAAGGGAAGGGGGAGGGUAAGGGGACGGAGGGCCUGCCAGUCGCAAGCGGCGGUGUGGCAAGGCCUCCGGUGCCAAGAGCAGUGCACAUACCGUAUGCUUCCGUCUCACCGCCACGGCCCUUGUGCUCAGGCGCCAUGAGGCCGACCCGAACCAGACCUGCCAACCGCCCCCUGGGCACCGGCCCACCUCGUUGGUCUUGCUGCUGAAGCACUCGAGGUAGGGGUACAUGAGCAUGAGGUGCGCCUUGACCAGACACAGGUCGGUGGCUGCGCCCUGGAAGCCGUGCACGAAGAUGGCCACAUGCGUCUCGUCCUGCGGGGCGAAAUCACGAACCCAAGCCCGGGCGGGCGUGUGCGGAAUGCACCAAGGGGAGUUGGAUGCGGUGCUGGGUUGGCCGCAAGCGUGGGAUGGUUGGCGCACGCAAGCACUGUCGCAGUGAUGCAGUGAAAGGGCGGGGUUGAGCCACGUGCUAUUUUGAUUGCUGUUCAGGUGCAGACGUGCACAGGCCGGGCCUCAAAGACCUGUCUCUCACCCGCGGCCGGAAGUUGGCGUCGAAGUGCUGCUCGCUCUCCUGCAGCCACUUGACGCCCUGCAACAGCACCGCCGCACAGUGCGCAGGGGCUUGGCGCCACACGCAUGCAUCACUCGGUCCUACACCACUGGCCCCCCCUAGUUUAGCUUGGUUUGGUUUGGGCUGGUAUCUACAACCCCCCUGAAUGAGCAACACACGGUCCGCAGUCUGCACACGACAGUCAAACGCUGCUCAUGCGCGCGCCCGCUGCCCCGCACCUGGGAGUCGUCUAUGAGCAGCACGGGCUGGUCCCCGGGCGAGCCCCACAGCGACGACGUUUGCACGGCAGGCAGGGGGAAGCGCUGUGCCCGCAGGUCCUGCGCGGGGAGCGGGUAGCGGGUGGCAGGGGCGGGGGGGUGGCGGCCGGUCAGCAGCUUGUGAUGGGGGGGCCCCAGGUAUGGCUGUAAACCAACCGGGGGUGGGGGCUGCAGCGCUCGGCCGUACAGGUAGCGGCGUGCCGCGUGUCAACUCACGAGGCGAUGCUGUGCCGCCCUGGCCGCGAUGGCGUCGCGACCGGCCGCCACGUCCCACACCUGCAGCAGCGCAGGCGGUGAGCGGGAUUGACACGGCGCAAAGCACACAGCCGCCCCACACCCAGCCGCACGGUGCCAAGCCUGUCAAGCACCAACUCCGUUCCCGCUCCGUUUGUGGACCCUGAACCUUUAGCCCUUGCCCCGCGUGAUUGAGCCCCUCCACCUCCCUCGCCUCCUGCAGCGCGACUGUUUCCUUACGGGAUUGGUUCAAAGUUAAUCCCUCGCCUCCUCCGGUCCCAAAGGCUUUAGCACCUGCCGCCCCCUCCGCCUACGAAGCCUGCGCAACGCUGCACCUCAGCAACAUCGCCUUCUCCCACUCCCAACUAGUCACACUUCGAACCCCGCCGCCUCCCCCACCCCCCUCCCCUCGUCCCUAACACCGGCCCAGCUUUGCCCACCACUCACGAUGAAGGGCAGCACGGCGUCCGGCUGCUCGCCCUCCCACAGCAGCUUGAGGUGGCGCAUCAGCUCGCGCGGCGCCGUGCGCAGCACCCAGCCCAGCACCGACCAGUCCGUGCGCGCGUCGCGGCUGAGGCCCACCAGCAGCCCGUCCAGCU